UUGUAGCGGUCAGUUUUGAGUCGCUCACUUUGAAUUCUGGCGCCGUCCAGUUCUUCCUGUUUUUCCUCUGUAUUUCUCAUACCUCAGUCGAGUCUCUAUCGCAGCAGUGCGGAUAGUGAGCAAACCGAGUUUUCCUUACUCUGAUUCUCGGAUAUGUCAGUCAGUCGUUCUCAGUCAUGUAGAAGUACAGCUCUGAUUUGAGUUAGGGUCGCGAGCCCAGCGCUCGUCCAUGUGCAACAUGGGUUGGAGUCAGUUUAGCCUUUUCUGAAGACCCGAGUGAUCUUUACUUUACUUCUUUCAACAUCCGCCGUAACCUCGGGUCUUUCAUUUGAUCUGUCAUGGCUUCAAGAUUUCAAUGACUCUAACGCGACUUGUCAAGAUUAUGAUUCAGACUUCAGUACCUUUAUCGUCCAGUUUUAUAAUAUGUUCUGUUGACGUUUUACAUUGAUGUGUGGAUGAUGUGUUUUAGUCAUGUGUUUGGAGAAGCUUAUUUAGCUUUUAGUUAUUCGAUUUGUGGAGCUUAGAUAGCUUAUGUCUCUUUUAGAUUUGUGUGUGCGAUUUGCACUCUUUAUGCUUUUAGCAUUACGUUGAGAUUUUGUUCGGGAUUAGUUGCUUCCCAGUUGAGUUUACGUUGAGAGUUGAGAUUCGUUGAGAUUUAGUUUUAGAUAAGUAUAUGUAAUUUAGAGUUAAGAUGUCUAGUUAGAUAUGUUUUGAGAUCUGAAGAUUUCUCGAAUUUAGUGUGAACUGUGAUUUAGUUUUAAGUAUGUGUGUGAUUAUAAGGCUCUCUUUACAUCCGAUAAGUUAAUAAAUAUGAUUGUUAUUGUUACCUAA